GGCCGAAUGGUCUAGUGGUAUGAUUCCUCUUUCGGGUAUCUUUCAGAUGACUCCAAUUCAUUGGAAUUGAGCAUAGAGGAGGCCCCGGGUUCGAAUCCCGGUUCGGCCC